rnacentral:tRNA from 1 species
AGUCCCCUAGUGUAGUGGUCAAACAUCUGGGACUCUGAAUCCCGGGACAGGAGUUCGAAUCUCCUGGGGACUACCA